GCACCCUUGGUGUAUGGAAACACACAUCUUACAGCUGUUGUUUAUUCGAUGUCUAACUAAUCAAGAUGAGUCCGGGGUUUGAAUCCCCGAGGGUGCA